GAUGAACGCUGGCGGCGUGCCUAAUACAUGCAAGUCGAGCGAACGGACGAGAAGCUUGCUUUUCUGAUGUUAGCGGCGGACGGGUGAGUAACACGUGGAUAACCUACCUAUAAGACUGGGAUAAUUUCGGGAAACCGGAGCUAAUACCGGAUAAUAUUUUGAACCGCAUGGUUCAAAAGUGAAAGACGGUCUUGCUGUCACUUAUCGAUGGAUCCGCGCUGCAUUAGCUAGUUGGUAAGGUAACGGCUUACCAAGGCAACGAUGCAUAGCCGACCUGAGAGGGUGAUCGGCCACACUGGAACUGAGACACGGUCCAGACUCCUACGGGAGGCAGCAGUAUGGAAUCUUCCGCAAUGGGCGAAAGCCUGACGGAGCGACGCCGCGUGAGUGAUGAAGGUCUUCGGAUCGUAAAACUCUGUUAUUAGGGAAGAACAUAUGUGUAAGUAACUGUGCACAUCUUGACGGUACCUAAUCAGAAAGCCACGGCUAACUACGUG
rnacentral:rRNA from 1 species